GUAGCAUCCAAUGUAAACGUGCUUUCUCUGGACGUUGACAAAUCUGGGUCCAAACAUUCCCACGAUAGUAAGCCAUUAAACCUUCAGACAUUAAACAAAGGAACUGAAACACAGCAGCAAAUGUGUCAACCCGGAGCCAUUGGCAUAUUGCAACGGUGAUUGAUUCUGUGAACACUUGCUCUGCGAGUACUUAUCGGGUGCACCUGCCUCUGCUGGUGAUUAAUUAGACUACAUCGCCGCGGUAAACAGUAGACAUCGUGUUUCAUAUGAAUGAACUUGGCCGCCGUGCAACUGGUAGCUUCGGUGAAAUUGAAGAUCUCCAUAUUCCGAUUUUAUCAUAGGCAUAUUGAUAUGAACUGAUUCUAUGGAGUUGUGAGCGUAAGGAUUUCUACACUAAAAUCAGGAUCCCGAGGGCAACUCACGCUGACGGGAUGUUAGUUAUCUUGACCAUUUUGAAGGCAAUCUGCACGCAAAAGAAGAUCGCUGACAAUUCGGGUUUGUUGUAUAUUCAAUCCUACCGGCAUGGAGGAGCAACUACGGUUCGAUUCGUUGAGAAUGGCCAGCUGAGUCAGAAGCACUGCGAUGAAGCUGUGAAAAAUAAAGACUUCGGUGCAAAAUCAAAGUCUACCCAAGACUUGGAGUUCCUGAUAUAGUGAGCCCUGCCAAUAUCAAUGUUGGGAACCAAUUAAUUAGUUUAUACAAAAUAUUAACUACCAAUUGCAGGCAAUUUGGUUGACUUGUAACUCUUCAUUCGAAAAGUCAUGGAACUAUGGCGAUCCCAGGUUAGCUUGAAGGCGCUCUGUCAUUUCACUAGGCGAAUCUAUGUACAGUUUGAGUCUUUCGCUACUGGUGUGCAAAAAAUAUGACAUUCGAGACGCAAUACAGUGAUUUCUGUGUUCUGAUGAGAUGUCAUAGUUUGCCUAAUUGGAGAAAAUUCAGCAAUAUUGAGUUCAUGAAGAAUAGCUUAGAAGAAAUGCAAAAUUAGCGCCCGAGUCAAGGAAACGAAUGGCUGAAUUAACCUUGGCUUACUUCAAAGAAAGGCGUCCUGCAUGUAAUGGGCCUAUGAGGCGGAAGUAUAAUUGUCAAUAUAAAACCGCUUGAUCAAAAUUUCGGCCGAUUCCGCAGUAAUGGAUUAGUCUAUCUAUGUAGUAUCUCGUUGCCUUGACCCGUAUCGCUAUACUGCUGGAUAAGCCCAAUGAAUAGCUACGCUUUCAGGAUAAAUUGGAACAAGGUGGGCAUUUUAUGGAAGAUAAACUAUAGAAAGGUUUAACCAAGAGAGGAUGGAAGUGCACGUUUCUUCAGAGGCCACAGUAGUGACAUCAACGGUUUCAUCAUUUACUAGGAGCUGUAAUAGUUUAGAAGGAAAGUAUUAUUAAAUUAAGUUAUUAGUUGUUAAAGUGUACACGUAUGUAUGUAUGUACUUCCAGUCGUACAUACAAUAGGUAUGAAAGCAAAUUGAAGGCCAGAAGGGACAAAAAAACAACCUUUUUGUUUGCAUGAAAAAAUAAUUGUGUUGAACUCAUUUACCAGUAAUUUAUUGUUGUACUUCAAAAUUUAAGCUUAAA
rnacentral:lncRNA from 1 species